CACGGGUACACACACACACACCCACAUGCACACAGAUGAGCACGGGUACACACACACAUGCACACACACAGAUGAGCACGGGUACACACACGCACACCCACAUGCAGGUACACACACGCACACCCACAUGCACACAAUGCAGGUACACACCCACACCCACAUGCACACACAUGCAGGUACACACACACACACCCACAUGCACACACACAGAUGAGCACGGGUACACACACGCACACCCACAUGCACACACACAGAUGAGCACGGGUACAUGCAGGCACACACCCACAUGCACACACAUGCAGGUACACACACAGAUGAGCACGGGUACACACACACCCACAUGCACACACAUGCAGGUACACACACACCCACAUGCACACACACAGAUGAGCACGGGUACAUGCAGGCACACACACACGCACACACAUGCAGGUACACACACAGAUGAGCAUGGGUACACACACACCCACAUGCACACACAUGCAGGUACACACACACCCACAUGCACACACACAGAUGAGCACGGGUACACACACGCACACCCACAUGCACACACAUGCAGGCACACACACACACACCCACAUGCACACACAUGCAGGCACACACACACACCCACAUGCACACACAUGCAGGUACACACACGCACACCCACAUGCACACACAUGCAGGUACACACACACACCCGCAUGCACACACAUGCAGGGACACACACAGAUGAGCACGGGUACACACGCACACACAUGCAGGCACACACACAUGCACACACAUGCAGGUACACACACAGAUGAGCACAGGUACACACACACCCACAUGCACACACACAUGAGCACGGGUACACACAUACAGACACCCACAUGCACACACAUGCAGGUACACACACACACACCCACAUGCACACACACAGAUGAGCACGGGUACACACAUGCACACCCACACGCACACACAUGCAAGGACACACAGAUGAGCACGAGUACACACACACCCACAUGCACACACAUGCAGGGACACACACAGAUGAGCAC
rnacentral:lncRNA from 1 species